rnacentral:lncRNA from 1 species
UUUAACGGAUGUCCUUAUGCCAUUCCAUUGACGUUGCGUGGGCGCAUAACUGCACUUAACUUUAAAUAGCGAAUGAGAGGUCAAGUCUUUCGUAUUGUGUCAAGUACAUUGAUGCAUCUUAGUGUACUUAGAUGGGAACUCCAUCUUUUAACACAUCUUUGUCAUCUUCUUUUAGAUAAAAACAUAUCUCUCUGUUUUAGAGUAAAGAUUUUGACUAAUCAUGGGAGUGUUGGCCUCACUUUCGUUAGAACGCCUAAGCCGAUUGAUCGAAAAUCAUCAUUUAUACAAUCCUCGAGUGCCUUUUUGAGACUGUCUUCCCAAGAUCUUUUUCAUUCUUAACUUCGGAUGUUCGAUACAUAUUGACAUCUCUUAGUCCAUCAAGAGUCUAUGUAAAUCCGGAAUCAAUAAGCAAGGGCAUAAUUCACUAUAUCCCUUCCCAAUCAAGUAGUUACUUUAGUGUGCAGUCCAACUCUUCUUUCAAACACACGCUCUUGUGGUUCGGAGCCACUUGAUUUGGGUGAAUGAAGUCUAUUCAAGACCUUCACGCAUAUCUCUGAUUCCAUAGAGAUGUUAUUAUGACCACAUUCAUAGGCUGCAUGUUCAGUUAUUCGGAAACUACCAAACUGAUAAAGUAGUGGAGUGCAAAGACAUCCAUUACGAGAGCAUAUCUCAUCGUAGUCGAUCCCAGUGCGUGUAAGUGAGACCUUGCGCCAUAAGGUGAGUCAAAACUCUUGUUCUCACUGCGCUAUCUAACAAAGACAUAUUUGAUAGGGUUUACACUUGCGGUGUCAGCAUCACCUGCCCAAGAACCUAUCUCUUUGUUCUGGAUCGCAUCGUUCCAUUAGGCCAAUCUGCUACGUCGAUUUAUCAACGAAGUGUGGUUCGAUAAAUGACUUGAAUCAUAAACCGCAAGCGUACGAAUCGUGUCAAGUAAGAGAAAUAUUUAGACCUUAUUUAUCGUACCACGAGGAUUAGGUUGGACCUAACCGAGGUAAUCGCCUCUAGUUUACUUAAAAACACACAAGAAAGAAAAUAAACAAAAAUAAAGAAAACUAUAAACACUGAAGACACCAAGCCUUGGCAAUGCUCGGCCAGCUCGCACUAAGCCUAAUCAAAACCCCCUAACUUGUAGCCCUAAGGUGGAUAUGCACAANNNNNNNNNNNNNNNNNNNNNNNNNNNNNNNNNNNNNNNNNNNNNNNNNNNNNNNNNNNNNNNNNNNNNNNNNNNNNNNNNNNNNNNNNNNNNNNNNNNNNNNNNNNNNNNNNNNNNNNNNNNNNNNNNNNNNNNNNNNNNNNNNNNNNNNNNNNNNNNNNNNNNNNNNNNNNNNNNNNNNNNNNNNNNNNNNNNNNNNNNNNNNNNNNNNNNNNNNNNNNNNNNNNNNNNNNNNNNNNNNNNNNNNNNNNNNNNNNNNNNNNNNNNNNNNNNNNNNNNNNNNNNNNNNNNNNNNNNNNNNNNNNNNNNNNNNNNNNNNNNNNNNNNNNNNNNNNNNNNNNNNNNNNNNNNNNNNNNNNNNNNAUGAACAGAUGUCUUCAUCAUGUGGUCACAUGCAUCCAGAAACGGAGGAUAGUGCAGUGGUACCUGACUAUAGCCCAGAGAGUUUUUGUUAAUAUUUGAAUGAAAUACCUGCAUUAAUCUUUAACAUACUGUAACUAUGGAUGCUUAGCCCAGUCAAAUUGUCAUAAUUCCCGUUUGUUAAGCAAAAAAAGUCAAAGAGUCUACCUCUUAUUAAUAAGCAAGAGAGUAAUUAGGAAUUAAUUGAAAACAAAAUAUCCAUAAUGCAUACAUAUUCGAUUAAAUUCAUGGCUUCAAUCCAAAUUUCUAUAUUAAUCAGUUAAACCUGUUACUUAAUUUUUUGGAUUAUACAAAAUUUUACAUUCAUAUUUUCGAAGUUUUUACUGAAAGACAAUUUAGCCUAGCCUAUUUUGAAAUCCUAACUCCGUCCCUGCAUGCAUCUGAACACAAUAAAACCUGAAAGACCUCUCCUCUUUUGAAGAAGUCCAAAACAAAACCACAUAUAUAUAUAUAUAUAUAUAUAUAUAUAUCUCUAACGCAUAAGAGCUAUAUGUGGAAGCGUUUCCAGUUAACAUAUUACAAAUGACACGACCCANNNNNNNNNNNNNNNNNNNNUUCUUUCCCACUGGCAAGAAAUGUGCAGACUUGGUGAGUCUAUCCACAAUCACCCAAAUACCGUCAUGCCCUUCACGGGUACGAGGUAAACUAAAAACAAAAUCCAUGGUGAUGUGGUCCCACUUUCACAUUGGAAUAGGCAACGGCUCAAGCAAUCCAGAAGGCUUCUGCCUUUCAGCUUUUACUUGCUGACAAACCAGACAUCUACUCACAUAAGCUGCAAUUUCCCUCUUCAUGUUUGGCCACCAAUAAUAAUCCUUCAAAAUCCGAUACAUUUUUGUGCUACCCGGAUGAGCAGCAUAUGCAGAGCUAUGAGCUUCCUCCAUAAUCUCACUCUUCAACUCUUCAUUUCUUUUUGGAACACAUAGCCGGUUCUUAAACAACAGAGUCCCAUCUCUUCUAAUUGAAAAAUGAUCGGCUGCGGCUCCAUUCGAAGCUCUUUCCAUCAAUCGAACUAUGGAAGGAUCAUUCUACUGUGCUUCCCGCACUCUAUCAACCAAAACUGGCCUCACAUGAAAACUGGCUAUCAAAGCACCAACCUCAUCUACUGACAAAUCCACUCCUGUAGCUCGCAACUCACAAAGAAGCGGAACACGAACCAUCUUUAUAUGAGAUAAAGAUAUGGAGGGAUUUCGACUAAGAGCAUCAGCUACCAUAUUAGCUUUUCCAGGAUGAUACUCAAUAGUGCAAUCGUAAUCAUUGAUUAACUCCAUCCACCUUCUCUGUCUCAUAUUUAGCUCCCUUUGAGUGAACACAUACCGAAGACUCUUGUGAUCGGUAAAAAUCUGACACUUGGCUCCAUAAAGAUAGUGUCUCCACAACUUGAGAGCAAAAACUACCGCUGCAAGCUCCAAAUCAUGGGUAGGAUAAUUCCCCUCAUGCAGCUUCAAUUGCCUAGAAGCGUAGGCAAUAACUCGAUCAUGCUGCAUCAAAACUCCACCUAGACCACGUCUAGAAGCAUCACAAUAGACCACAUACUCUCCACUAUCAUCCGGAAGUGCCAAAACAGGAGCACUUGUUAAGCAAUUCUUCAAUUCUUGGAAACUUUGCUCACAUUGAUUUGAUCAUUCAAACUUAACCCCCUUCCUGGUCAAUCUUGUGAGAGGAGCAGCAAUCUUUGAAAAAUCUUUCACAAAGCGCCGAUAAUAACCUGCUAAUCCCAAGAAAUUACGAAUCUCCGUCACAGUGGUGGGUCUUCUCCAAUUCGACACUGCUUCCACCUUUUGAGGACCCACACUAACUCCUUCUGCCGAAAUCACAUGACCCAAAAACCCCACUUUAUCUAGCCAAAACUCACACUUGCUAAACUUAGCGAAUAACUGCGACUUUUCCAAAGUCCGCAAUAUUAUUCUUAGAUGCUUGGCAUGCUCCUUCUCACUUCUUGAGUAAACCAAUAUGUCAUCUAUGAAUACGAUCACGAAACGAUCAAGGUAUGGACUAAACACCCUAUUCAUGAGAUCCAUGAACGCCGCGGGUGCAUUAGUAAGUCCAAAUGGCAUCACCACAAACUCAUAAUGACCAUAUCGUGACCGAAAAGCAGUCUUGGCUAUGUCCCCCUCUCGGAUCCGCAACUGAUGAUAACCCGAUCUCAAAUCAAUCUUAGAGAAAACAGAGGCACCCCUCAACUGAUCAAAUAAAUCAUCGAUUCGAUGCAACAGAUAUUUAUUCUUCACUGUGACCUGAUUCAACUUUCUAUAAUCAAUGCAUAGUCUCAUGGUGCCAUCUUUCUUCUUAACAAACAACACUGGAGCACCCCAUGGAGACAUGCUAGGCCGAAUAAAACCCUUAUCUACCAACUCCUGCAAUUGAGUCUUCAACUCUUUCAAUUCCGCUGGAGCCAUUCUGUAAGGUGCCUGAGAAAUAGGCAAAGUUCCAGGAAGUAAUUCUAUAGAGAAGUCUAUCUCCCUUGCAGGAGGCAAACUAGGCAACUCCUCAGGAAAAACAUCCGGAAACUCCCUUACUACUGGAAUAUCUUCUAAUCCCACAACUCCCAUACUUGUAUCCACCACAUGAGCUAAAUAUGCCUGACAGCCUUUACUCAACAAUUUCCUUGCAGUAACAGCGGAAAUUAUGCAACUAGAAAUAACAUCUCUUUCCCCUUGGAAAGCAACCUCAAAACCAUCUGGACUUCGAAGCACCACUACUUUCUGAAAACAAUCUACCAUAGCUCUAUAUGCUUCCAAAAAGUCCAUUCCCAAGAUCACAUCAAACUCCACUAUAUCUAAAGGGAUUAAAUAGCCUCGAAAUUAACUCCUUCCACUAAAACUUCACAACCACUAAAUACCCAAUUUAUUCUCAUCACCUCACCGGAGGGUAGAGACACAUGCCACUCGCCUGGAAGAGACGAUGAUGGCACAUUGGCAUGGAGGGCAAAUCUACUAGACAUGAAUGAAUGCGUGGCUCCGGGAUCAAUUAAAGUAAAAGCAGGCUGACCGAAAAUUAAUAACGUACCAAUGAUGACAUCUGGAGAAGUACGACCCUCUUGCUGGGUCAUAGCAUGCAGUCUAGCGUGAGUCAUGGGACGUCCACGCUGACCACCGCCCCACUGAGAGCCACCUCUGACAGAUGCACUGCCCUGGGCACCACUACUGGAGCCCCUAGCUGAAGACUGACCAACUGGCUGAGUAGGGGUGGGGGUGGUCCUCUGAGCCAACAAUGGGCAAUCUCUCGUGAAGUGGUCUUGACCACCACACUCAAAGCACCCAGAAAACUGCUGCUGCCCAUAAGAAAAAGUCUGGCUACCGGAUGACCCACCAUGGAAACUACCACCAGAACCAUACUGCCCAGACUGCUGCCUACCCAAAUGACUCCGAGAAGAACUUCUGAAACGUCCCUUAGACCUGCUUCGAACACCAGAGCUAGAUCUACCACUACUUCCACUACCAGCUGAAGAACCAGAAGCGGAUGAUGAAGCAGCUUUCUUGGAUGGACCCUGACUGGGGCCACCGAAAUCUCGUGGCCGAGCACUAUAAAUCCCCAUAGACUCAAUGGCCAUGGCUGCAUGAACAGCAUCAGGAAAAUUCGGGUAAUAAACACCCGUCAUCUUAUCUGCAAACACUCCACCAAGUGCCCCAAUGAACAUCUCCAUCCUGGUCCUCUCAUCAGGAACCAGAUAUGACACAUGGUAGCUCAGGGAAGUGAAUCUCUCCUGGAACUCUAUAACCCCCUCAUCAUCCCUCUUCUUCAUAUUCAGGAAAUCCGACUGAAUUCUGCUGCGGUGGGCAGGACUGAAAUACUACCCCAAGAAGAGAGUCUUAAACUGCUCCCACGACAUAUUCAGCGCAUCCUCAACAUUCCUGCUGGCAAGCGACCACCAGUGAUGUGCUGAAUCAUCCAGAAAAGUUACUGCUAUCUUCACCUUUCUUUCUUCUGGCAGCUCAGUGCUUGCAAAAGCCUUUUCCAUCUUAUCCACCCAAUUGUGAGCAUCAAGAGGUCUCUUGGCACCCUUGAACUCUCUGGCUCCAGCUUCAAAAACUUCUCUCAUUUUCACAACAGGAGGGCGUGGAGCUCGAUCCAUGACAUCCCUCAGCAUAUUUCCAAUAUCAUCAACCAGUCCUCUGACCUCAUUGCCCUCAUCGGCAUUGGUCGAAGUGGCCACACGGGGUUGUCGUGGGCGCCUAGGAGGCAUAGUACCUGAGGAAGAAGAAAUUUAGUAGUCCAUAAACAAGACUAACACAACAAUCACACAUACCCAAUAACACAUAGCAUCAAAAGCAUAAAAUGCCAAUGAAUCCACCGCGGUCGGAUCAUCACUCUAUAGACACUACGUGCUACUUAGGCAAAUAUGAUAGUGACAAGGAAGCAGGAAAAGGAAACCUAUAGCUCUGAUACCAACUGACACGACCCACCCCGAAUUUCACCCUGAAACCCAGAGUAAGUCGUGCGGGGACCACCUCGAAGGAAAAAUUUACUGAGAAGAUUGAUAGAAUCUCCCUUGAAAAUGGACAACCCUAACGAAGUGUGGUUCGAUAAAUGACUUGAAUCAUAAACCGCAAGCGUACGAAUCGUGUCAAGUAAGAGAAAUAUUUAGACCUUAUUUAUCGUACCACGAGGAUUAGGUUGGACCUAACCGAGGUAAUCGCCUCUAGUUUACUUAAAAACACACAAGAAAGAAAAUAAACAAAAAUAAAGAAAACUAUAAACACUGAAGACACCAAGCCUUGGCAAUGCUCGGCCAGCUCGCACUAAGCCUAAUCAAAACCCCCUAACUUGUAGCCCUAAGGUGGAUAUGCACAAAUGAGUCGAUAGUUGAAAAGAAGUUGAAUUGGGGAUUAACUAAAUUAACACAAACUACAAUGAAAGUAAACAACAAACUAACAAAUUAGAAAGUAAAUUUGGUUUUUCAAAUCAAUGGGGACAUGGGAGUGUCGGGUGAUCCACACUAACCCUCUUGCAAAUAUUGAUACUAAUUUCACAAACGCAUGCAUUUCUUACAUGGAUCGAGUUCAAAUGUAUUAAAUCUUAGAACUUUGCGUUAUCUAAAACUUGGGGCCGCUUCUAUUGCAGAUCGCUGAGUUGCAGACAAUAUGCGAACUUUCAAAAUGAGUAUGUUGGAUUACAUGAACAGAUGUCUUCAUCAUGUGGUCACAUGCAUCCAGAAACGGAGGAUAGUGCAGUGGUACCUGACUAUAGCCCAGAGAGUUUUUGUUAAUAUUUGAAUGAAAUACCUGCAUUAAUCUUUAACAUACUGUAACUAUGGAUGCUUAGCCCAGUCAAAUUGUCAUAAUUCCCGUUUGUUAAGCAAAAAAAGUCAAAGAGUCUACCUCUUAUUAAUAAGCAAGAGAGUAAUUAGGAAUUAAUUGAAAACAAAAUAUCCAUAAUGCAUACAUAUUCGAUUAAAUUCAUGGCUUCAAUCCAAAUUUCUAUAUUAAUCAGUUAAACCUGUUACUUAAUUUUUUGGAUUAUACAAAAUUUUACAUUCAUAUUUUCGAAGUUUUUACUGAAAGACAAUUUAGCCUAGCCUAUUUUGAANNNNNNNNNNNNNNNNNNNNGCCGGAGGCCAAUUCCGGCGACCUCCAAAACCUAUGAAAUUUUGACAGAAUAAUCCUCUCAUCAUGCUCUACAACUUUUCCUAACUAGCACAAACACCAAUUCCAAGCCUAACUAGGGUAAUCGACUAAAAACACAAAAAACGCCAAAAAACUUCCACCUCAAAUUUCUCCUUACCUAGCUCAAGAGGGAGUGAGUCCUUUUAGGGCAAGGCUGCUGGGUUGGAGGGCUACAAAACCGUACCAAGCUUGCCCAGAUUGGUGGCCGGAGGAGGAAGUUCCGGCGAAAAGCUUCCCGGCGUUUCCGGCGGGUUUUCUCCUCUUCCGGCGGGUUAGAGGCUCGGGGGCUAGGCCGGGGAGGGAGACGAGGAGAUGGGGGUCCGAACUGAGGUGGAGAGGCGGCAGGUGGUGGCCGGACGGCGGCAGGAGCACGGUUGGAAAACCGGGCAGCGGGAGGGGCUCGGGAGAGAGAGCGAACCAGGAGGAGAAAAGAGAAGAAAAGAGAAAAUGGGUUUGCGCCUCACUCCCCAAACCGGUCCAAGCUUAUAACAACCCAAUUCCAAAAAUAAAACACCCCGAAAAAUAAUAACCGAAUAAAAAUUACUUUUUACUAGCUAAAAUUUACCAUUUUUACCGUCGUCGAAUUUUCCUCCUACGAAUAAUCCUCCACACAUAAUCAUCCCCGAAACCCCUCUAGGGACCACUUAAACUAUUAACUCAAUGAUCGAGACGGUAAAAUUCUUAUUAUAAUCACGCUAGUAAAUAAGGUAAAAAUAUAAGUGUCGGGAUGUGACAACAAAUCUUUUUCAACUGGUUUUCUCCUAAGUUCAGUUCCUGUCAUGAUUUUGCUUUAUCUUACAUAUCCAUAUUCCAUAUAUAUCAGCCGUUCAGCAUCCCAUAGCUGAAGGAGGAGGGAAAUUUAAAGAACUUGUUAAUCUUGUUAUUUAAAGAACUUGAAAGGAAAGAGUAAGAAUUAAUGAACUUGUUAAUUUUGCCCAUGGAGAAGAAUUUGUCAAUUGUCCAGAAUUGAGAUUGAAAGAGAGCUAGAAAAGAAGCCAUGAAUGACGGCAACAAAAUAAAGUGGAAUAAGAAGGAUAGACCACACCCGGGACCCGGUGUCGGUGGUUUCUAAGCACUCAACACGUGAGUGGGAAAAGUAAAAGAAAAUAAAACAAAUUCAAAUAUUUUUCCAGAAAUUGUUAAACACAAAACAUUUUGUAAUAACAAAACAAUUACAGAGGUAAAAAUAGGUCUUGCGAUCUAUCUAACUUCUAAUCUUCCGUACUUUCGACUCUUGUACACAUAAGCUAACGUCACAAUUAGUCUUCUUGAAAGGCAUGUCAUACCUGAACAAUAAUCUAUAGGGGUGAGCUUACGCUCAGUAGGGCCAAACCUUUUUAGGUUAUUCUUAACUACGUCGCACAAUCAAGUUGUCAAAUAUCAAACAACACUUUAUAUAUAACAAAAAUGAUUGAUGCACAAAUGCUAAUGAACUCCCACCACUCAAUUACUAGCUAUUUAGUCCAUACAUCAAAGACAUAUAAGCCUACACAUCCCAUACCAUGUAGAUGUCUCCAAUAUUCGACCUAACAAAUCAGUAAUAUCUAAACUCCAAUACUUCUUUUGUUAGUCGUCUUGUUACUCAUGGUCUCUAAACCCGAAACCCGAUUAGAUCGCUUUAUCACGUCCGCCGUCGAAGGGUUCUGCAUUCCCCAGUUCGUACACUUAUGGGCUGGCAUGGAUUCAUGGAUAACCCAUAAGAAAACUCAAUUACACAAAAUGUUUCAUUUCUCUCGGUCUCAUUCUCAUCUCUGUAGAAUCACUAUUCUCACCACUCUCUCAAUUCCUCACAAUGCAUUAUGUAUGUCAAUGAGUAUCAAUACUCGUAAUAUAUCAUUCAACACAUGCUUUUCUAGAAAGCAAUAACACCAAUCAUAUAACUCAACGAUUAUACAUGCUUUUAAGAAAACGAUAACAUCCAAGAGUUAAUCACUCAAUGGCAAACAAUUCACUGAUUUCAAUAAUAAUCUAAUUAUCAAUUUAAAGAAAGGUUCCCCGAGAAAGAUUUGAUAGGAAUUCUACCUAGAAUUCCUCUGCGAAAGUAGACAAGUGCGAAACAAUAUAGAUAAACGAUCGAGAAAU